GACGAACGCUGGCGGCGUGCCUAAUACAUGCAAGUAGAACGCUGAAGGAGGAGCUUGCUUCUCCGGAUGAGUUGCGAACGGGUGAGUAACGCGUAGGUAACCUGCCUGGUAGCGGGGGAUAACUAUUGGAAACGAUAGCUAAUACCGCAUAAGAGUAGAUGUCGCAUGACAUUUGCUUAAAAGGUGCAACUGCACCACUACCAGAUGGACCUGCGUUGUAUUAGCUAGUUGGUGAGGUAACGGCUCACCAAGGCAACGAUACAUAGCCGACCUGAGAGGGUGGUCGGCCACACUGGGAAUGAGACACGGCCCAGAAUCCUAAGGGAGGCAGCAGGAGGGAAUCUUCGGAAAUGGAGGGAAGUCUGGCCGAGGAAAGCCGGGUGGGUGAAGAAGGUUUUCGGAUCGGAAAGCUCUGUUGUAAGGGAAGAACGAGUGUGGGAGUGGAAAGUUCACACUGUGACGGUAUCUUACGAGAAAGGGACGGCUAACUACGUG
rnacentral:rRNA from 1 species